CUCAAGGCCAAAGACAGGCUGGUGGGAAAGCUCCGACCAGCAAGGCCCUAUGCUCCCCCUCCCCUACCGAAAACCCCAAAUAAAAACCCUUCCUUUUAGCUUUUUCGGGGAGUUUGGGAUUUCAGUGUUAGCUGCCCUCUCUCCUUGCUCAGCGCUGUGCAAAAAGAAAGUUCCUACUUUCUUCCACCACCCCUGGUGUCAGAGAUUGGCUUGCUGCGCGACGGGACCGGCCGGGAACAAUGGGUACCUUGGCAGCCCUCUGGGCUCCGUUUGUUUUGAAGUCGCCGCAACGCCCUGGCCAAAUUUUGGACACAAUUGGAAACACUGGUUAUAUUACCAAGACUUUGACUGGAAUAUCAUAUUUAAAAAGAACAUACAGGCUUGGAUAUAACACGACAGCUUUUGAGGAAUGAAGGUUGACAUUCUGGAAUAAAGCCACUUGGAAAUAUUGGCCUGAAAAACUUCUUAUUAAAUACCUGGUUACUUACUUACAUGAUACAGGCCCACCUUCAGGAGCCCGCCAGCAUCACUGCCUUAUUAAAAGACUGGUUCAAUGAGAGGAAACAACCUACGCCCCAUUUCAGCAGGAAGUAGCUAGAUUGGUCGCCGCCCCAAAUCCCUCAAGAUUGAGGGACGGACAUAAAAUAGGGGGGAGUUGAUAUCGACCCUGAUAUCAGUUUCCCCACACUAAACCCAGCAUAUAUGGGGUUAAAACCAAAACACUCAUUCCCUGCUUACUCUCUGGCUUCCUGGCUCCAGAAUCCACUAUGCUGCAUGGAGACAGACACCGUCAAGGACAAGCACCUGGACUAUCUCCUCCCCACAAAGAGAUACAGACUGGUGGGAAAGCUUCUGACCAGCAAGGUCAUGAGCUCCCUCCUCUCUGCAAGUGUCUCAAGGCCAAAGACAGGCUGGUGGGAAAGCUCCGACCAGCAAGGCCCUAUGCUCCCCCUCCCCUACCGAAAACCCCAAAUAAAAACCCUUCCUUUUAGCUUUUUCGGGGAGUUUGGGAUUUCAGUGUUAGCUGCCCUCUCUCCUUGCUCAGUGCUGUGCAAAAAAGAAAGUUCCUACUUUCUUCCACCACCCCUGGUGUCAGAGAUUGGCUUGCUGCAUGAUGGGUGAGUGAACUCACUUCAGGUUCGGUAACAUUUCUAAAUAUCAGACCAUCUACAAGGCUGAUUUGGUGGAUAAGGUGAAUCCACAUUUAUUCAACAAUUAGGGUGCUGUGUUAUAAAUGUUGUGUUUAAGCCAGGUAUGUAAGAACAAAUAAUUAUUUGGAACACGUUUUUUUAAUAGUGAAAGACAAAAAGAAGAAAGGAGGGGGCCCCCUUAAGAAUUGUAAAGAUUGAAAUGUUUUGAAUUACAGGACACUCUCAGGAUUAUUCAUAACAUAGUAAAGUAAUAAUUUUUAUUUUGA
rnacentral:lncRNA from 1 species